GAUAAUAUUCAACUGAAGUGAUCAACAAACAAAGACAUCGCCAAAUCAACCAAACAUUUCAAAACAAACUAAUAAAUGAAGUGUUCUACCAGUGAUACUUUGUGAUGAUCGACCAAUAAGUGACGGUACUUAUAACUGCCGCCGGUUCGUUCUCUUCGUGAAGAUGAAAAGAUCAUCUCUUGAAACUUAUGAAUUGGUGAGAAGUCUAGACCGACUGUUUGUCUGAUUGCAAAGUUGGAUAAAUUGGUCCGUAACAGGAUUACUUCGUUGAGGAGAAGAAAAAGAAGCAAGCAUGAGAAGACUAUGGAGAUAUGGUUUGGAAAAAAAUAAAGGAGAAUAGAAAGUUUCUGAUUUAUUUUUAAAAUUUUGUAUUAAGGCAGCAGACUAAACUCUGUACAAAGGUUUUUUUUGUUUGAAUAAAUUUAAAGUUCUUUUAGAAAAAAAGAAUUAGUGACACUUUCUUAAUCCAUAUUUGCUAUCUCUUAGUUUGCUAUGCUUAAUUUCUUUUGUUUUUGAGUGAGGUUAAAUUUCGAGAUCUUUUAUAAGAUUAUGA